UAAGUAUAAAUACGUGUGCAGGCCUGGCUGCUCUAUAGAUGAGUAUAGUCACCAUGUACUUGAAACUGGUAUUGGUUUCUGUCGGUUUGAUGUGUAUAAGUGUUGCCUCAGGCGGUGCUACUAGAAAGUGCAAUUUUUGCUUCGGUAGGUCCGACGACUCCCCUGGUGACCUUUCGAACUGUCGUAACUUUGUUAAUGUUACCGGUACUAUACAGUGUUCACGUAAUUUUUGCGUAACUAUGUUUGGGACUGCGACUGUAAACGAGAAAACGAUUCAAGUUGCGAGGAGAUCAUGUGGCAACGAUUGUGAUUGGCUCAAGAAAAAUGCUAUAGCAGACCUAUACUGUUCGGAUUGCACAAACGACUACUGCAAUGAUGACAAAUUUUGAUCAAUAAGAGCAAGCCUCCAUAAGGAUUAUAAACAUUUUUCUGCAUACUAUACUAUGUUAUUAUAUUAUUUUUAUUUAUUAUAUUUACUUUUUCGUGUUUAUCCUAUAAACUACUACGUAUUUAAGGAUUAUGUUGACAAUUGAGCUUCUUCAGGCAUACGAAUUUUGAUUGUUUAUUUUCAUACAUAAAACCAUUGAAUAUCCAACUCCAGUUGGAUAUUCAAUGAUAAAACAGAACUGAUACAAUUACUUAAAGUAACUCGACGUGUCGAUGAAGAUGUACUUGCCUUUGAUGUCACUACUUGCGAAAUUUCAUUUGUGAACAUUUUUGUUAUUCUGAAACACAAACUCGAGAAACCAAUUCCUUGAAACAACUGAUUCAACUGUUAAUAUUUUUCCUUUACGUUUAUUUUUCGAGUUUACAAAUAAAAAGGAAUCAGUGGAA